UUUCUUCUUCCCUCAGUGACCGACUCUCUCUCCCUCCUCUUGCUUGUGCGAACCAGAAGAUAGCAGAAAUAGAAGCAACGUCCAGCGUCGCCGGAAGGAGCCGUGACAAGCUGCUUGGACGCUGCCGCACCGCCGCUCGCGCGACGCCGUGCGCUCCGCCGCCCCCGCGACGCCGUUCGCUCCGCCGCCUCACGCUCGCACUUGCCGUCCCCGCCGUGCAACCCCAGCCCCUGUUUUGCCUCGGUUCAGUCUUGUUCGGCUAGCAUAGACCGCUGCCCGACCUCCUCCGGCCACUGUCCGGCCUCACCGGAGUCCCCUCGCCCUCCAUUGGCCCUGUCUAGCUCGAAUAAGCCCCGGAUCCGCCCU
rnacentral:lncRNA from 1 species